AAAUUUCAUAAUAUAGUUCAGGCAUUAUGGAGAGAGUUGUAUACUCCAGGGAAACAACCUGAGAAAGUGUGCACCUCGGUCAAAAAACCUGCCGGCACUCGUAUCUGAGACACCGUGUUCAAUUCGGAUCCAAAAAUCUGAUUUAUCGGGUCUCUUCCCAACUCCCCCACCUCCAACCAACUUCCACCAGUAGUAAACAGAAAUACAAGCAUAAGCAAAAGAAGACCCGCGACACAUCGCAACAUCGUAUCAUGUCUGCAACAAACGUCCCCAAAGUGCUGUUACAACUACAACCACCCUCCAAAUCGAACCCACUCUGCGUGCCGGUGAUAGGACUCGGCACCGCCGCGGUCCACAACGACGGUGACACGGUGAAGGCUGCAGUCAUAGAGGCUAUCAAACUCGGUUACAGACACUUCGACACCGCGGCACAGUACGGAUCGGAGCAGGCUCUUGGAGAAGCCAUUGCCGAAGCACUUCGUGUUGGUCUCAUAGCCUCAAGAGACGAGCUUUUCAUCACUUCCAAGUUAUGGUGUUGUGAUAAUCAUCCCCAUCUUGUUCUUCCUGCUCUACAAAAUUCGCUUCGGUCUCUUAAAUUAGAUUAUUUGGACCUAUAUUUAAUCCAUUGGCCAAUUACUGCAAAGCCUGGAAUGUAGGAGAUGCCUUAUUCUGAAGAGAGCCUUGUUCCAUUUGACGUAAAGAGUGUGUGGGCAGCAAUGGAAGAAUGUCACAAACUUGGCCUUACCAAAUCAAUUGGAGUUAGCAACUUCUCUUGCAAGAAACUUGAAAAUCUUCUCUCUUUUGCUACAAUUCCUCCUUCUGUCAAUCAAGUGGAGAUGAAUAUUGCCUGGCAGCAAAAGAAUCUUAGAGCAUACUGCAAGGCAAAGGGUAUAAUUGUGACUGCCUACUCUCCUUUGGGAGCCAAAGGGAGCAAAUGGGAUAUCAAUCAAAUUUUGGACAAUGAAUUGACCAAGCAGAUUGCACAGGCUCAUGGCAAAACUGCAGCUCAGGUAUGUCUUAGAUGGUUAUUUGAGCAAGGUGUGACUUUCAUACCAAAGAGCUACAAUAAAGAGAGAUUAAAGGAAAAUUUAGAGAUAUUUGAUUGGUCACUCACCAAAGAUGACCAUGAAAAGAUUAAUCAAGUCAAACAGGAGCGUAUGUUCAAGUACGGAACAGCAGCAUUCCCGCUUCCUGAUCUAUUUGAUGGGGAAACUUAGUAAUACAUUAUCAGCUUCAAUAUUCCAUUUUCCUUGAGAUUUAGGUUUCUCGUGUCUGUGACACAAUAAAAGGAUGAAGUGUAAUCUGUCUUUAGAAUACCCUUAAAGAAACUCAAAAUUGAAAUCACUGGUUUCACUUUUUGUGGGAAGUUUGUUUACAGCAAUGUUAUGCUUUUCUUCCAUGUAAUUUUAUGUGCUACACUGUUUUAUCUGUUGAAAUGUAAUUGUAAUUCAAGCUACAGGCAUCCAAUAAAAACUAGACUGUUUAUAGUUUAUCCACUUUUA